rnacentral:rRNA from 1 species
GAUCAUGGCUCAGGAUGAACGCUAGCGACAGGCUUAACACAUGCAAGUCGAGGGGCAGCGAGGGAGUGGCAACACUUCUGUCGGCGACCGGCGCACGGGUGAGUAACGCGUAUGCAACCUGCCCUUCACAGGGGGAUAACCGGGAGAAAUUCCGACUAAUACCGCAUACGUCCUCCGGGGGCAUCCCCGGGGAGUGAAGAAUUAUUCGUGAGAUGGCGAUGCGUGAUAUUAGGUUAGUUGGUCGGGG